UACGGAGGGUGCGAACGUUAAUCGGAAUCACUGGGCGUAAAGCGCGCGUAGGCGGUUUGUUAAGUGGGAUGUGAAAUCCCCGGGCUUAACCUGGGAAUUGCAUUUCAAACUGGCCGACUAGAGUACGGUAGAGGGAGGUAGAAUUUCCUGUGUAGCGGUGAAAUGCGUAGAUAUAGGAAGGAAUACCAGUGGCGAAGGCGGCCUUCUGGACCAGUACUGACGCUGAGGCACGAAAGCGUGGGGAGCAAACAGG
rnacentral:rRNA from 1 species